rnacentral:rRNA from 1 species
AAACUUAAGGAAUUGACGGGACCCGCACAAGCGGUGGAUGAUGUGGUUUAAUUCGAUGCAACGCGAAAACCUUACCCACCUUUGACAUGUACGGAACCCUUUAGAGAUAGAGGGGUGCUCGAAAGAGAGCCGUAACACAGGUGCUGCAUGGCUGUCGUCAGCUCGUGUCGUGAGAUGUUGGGUUAAGUCCCGCAACGAGCGCAACCCUUGUCAUUAGUUGCUACAUUCAGUUGGGCACUCUAAUGAGACUGCCGGUGACAAGCCGGAGGAAGGUGGGGAUGACGUCAAGUCCUCAUGGCCCUUAUAGGUGGGGCUACACACGUCAUACAAUGGCUGGUACAAAGGGUUGCCAACCCGCGAGGGGGAGCCAAUCCCAUAAAGCCAGUCGUAGUCCGGAUCGUAGUCUGCAACUCGACUACGUGAAGUCGGAAUCGCUAGUAAUCGUGGAUCAGAAUGUCACGGUGAAUACGUUCCCGGGUCUU